rnacentral:rRNA from 1 species
UACGAAGGGGACUAGCGUUGCUCGGAAUUACUGGGCGUAAAGCGCACGUAGGCGGCUUUCUAAGUCGGGGGUGAAAUCCUGGAGCUCAACUCCAGAACUGCCUUCGAUACUGGAGAGCUCGAGUCCGGGAGAGGUGAGUGGAACUGCGAGUGUAGAGGUGAAAUUCGUAGAUAUUCGCAAGAACACCAGUGGCGAAGGCGGCUCACUGGCCCGGUACUGACGCUGAGGUGCGAAAGCGUGGGGAGCAAACAGGG